rnacentral:rRNA from 1 species
UCUCCGUAGGUGAACCUGCGGAGGGAUCAUUACACAAAUAUGAAGGCGGGCUGGAACCUCUCGGGGUUACAGCCUUGCUGAAUUAUUCACCCUUGUCUUUUGCGUACUUCUUGUUUCCUUGGUGGGUUCGCCCACCACUAGGACAAACAUAAACCUUUUGUAAUUGCAAUCAGCGUCAGUAACAAAUUAAUAAUUACAACUUUCAACAACGGAUCUCUUGGUUCUGGCAUCGAUGAAGAACGCAGCGAAAUGCGAUAAGUAGUGUGAAUUGCAGAAUUCAGUGAAUCAUCGAAUCUUUGAACGCACAUUGCGCCCUUUGGUAUUCCAAAGGGCAUGCCUGUUCGAGCGUCAUUUGUACCCUCAAGCUUUGCUUGGUGUUGGGCGUCUUGUCUCUAGCUUUGCUGGAGACUCGCCUUAAAGUAAUUGGCAGCCGGCCUACUGGUUUCGGAGCGCAGCACAAGUCGCACUCUCUAUCAGCAAAGGUCUAGCAUCCAUUAAGCCUUUUUUUUCAACUUUUGACCUCGGAUCAGGUAGGGAUACCC